UACGUAGGCACCAAGCGUUGUCCGGAUUUAUUGGGCGUAAAGAGCUCGUAGGCGGUUCGGUAAGUCGGGUGUGAAAACUCUGGGCUCAACCCAGAGAGGCCACCCGAUACUGCCGUGACUGGAGUGCGGUAGGGGAGUGGGGAAUUCCUGGUGUAGCGGUGAAAUGCGCAGAUAUCUGGAGGAACACCGGUGGCGAAGGCGGCAUCCUGGACCAACACUGACACUGAGGAGCGAAAGCCAGGGGAGCAAACGGG
rnacentral:rRNA from 1 species